rnacentral:rRNA from 1 species
AUUGAACGCUGGCGGCAGGCUUAACACAUGCAAGUCGAGCGGUAACAGGAGAAGCUUGCUUCUCGCUGACGAGCGGCGGACGGGUGAGUAAUACUUAGGAAUCUACCUAGUAGUGGGGGAUAGCUCGGGGAAACUCGAAUUAAUACCGCAUACGACCUACGGGAGAAAGGGGGCAACUUGUUGCUCUCGCUAUUAGAUGAGCCUAAGUCGGAUUAGCUAGAUGGUGGGGUAAAGGCCUACCAUGGCGACGAUCUGUAGCUGGUCUGAGAGGAUGAUCAGCCACACCGGGACUGAGACACGGCCCGGACUCCUACGGGAGGCAGCAGUGGGGAAUAUUGGACAAUGGGGGCAACCCUGAUCCAGCCAUGCCGCGUGUGUGAAGAAGGCCUUUUGGUUGUAAAGCACUUUAAGCAGUGAAGAAGACUCCAUGGUUAAUACCCAUGGACGAUGACAUUAGCUGCAGAAUAAGNACCGGCUAACU